rnacentral:rRNA from 1 species
UACGUAGGGGGCAAGCGUUGUCCGGAUUUAUUGGGCGUAAAGAGCGUGUAGGCGGCCAGGUAGGUCUGCUGUGAAAACUCGAGGCUCAACCUCGAGACGUCGGCGGAAACCAUCUGGCUAGAGUCCGGAAGAGGAGAGUGGAAUUCCGUGGUGUAGCGGUGAAAUGCGCAGAUAUCAGGAAGAACACCCGUGGCGAAGGCGGCUCUCUGGGCCGUAACUGACGCUGAGGAGCGAAAGCGUGGGGAGCGAACAGG